AGCAGCCGCGGUAAUUCCAGCUCCAAUAGCGUAUAUUAAAGUUGUUGCAGUUAAAAAGCUCGUAGUUGAAUUUCGGGGUCGGUAGGUUGGUCAUGCCUCUGGUAUGCACUGGUCUCACUGAUUCCUCCUUCCUGAUGAGCCGUAAUGCCAUUAAUUUGGUGUUGCGAGGAAUCUGGACUGUUACUUUAGAAAAAUUAGAGUGUUUAAAGCAAGCUAACGCUUGAAUACAUUAACAUGGAAUAAUGGAAUAGGACGUUCGAUCCUAUUUUGUUGGUUUCUAGGAUUGACGUAAUGAUUAAUAGGGAUAGUUGGGGGCAUUAGUAUUCAAUUGUCAGGGGUGAAAUUCUUGGAUUUAUUGAAGACUAACUACUGCGAAAGCAUUUGCCAAGGAUGUUUUCAUUAAUCAAGAACGAAAGUUAGGGGAUCGAAGACGAUCAGAUACCGUCGUAGUCUUAACCAUAAACUAUGCCGACUAGGGAUCGGAUGAUGUUAAUUUUUUAAUGACUCAUUCGGCGUCCCG
rnacentral:rRNA from 1 species